AUUCAUUUAGACAGUAGGACGGUGGCCAUGGAAGUCGGUACCCGCAAAGGAGUAUGUAACAAAUCACCUACCGAAUGAACUAGCCUUGAAAAUGGAUGUCGCAAAGCCGUCGGCCGAUGCCUCGCCGACAAAGGAUGAGUAGGAGUGCGUGAGGGCCGCGCAGAAGCAUAUGCGUGAGAGUGUGGAGCUACUCUCAGUGCAGAUCUUGG
rnacentral:rRNA from 1 species